rnacentral:misc_RNA from 1 species
AUUAAGAACAAAGUAACCCUUCUCUUGAGGAGCAAGAAAAAAUGUCUGCACAAACUUCCUGAUCCCAUUGAACUCCUUCGACUUUGCAGAACCCGAAACCACAACCAGAAUACCCCCAUUCCAAGAAUCCAUUGAGUUGAUCGUCUUGAUUGAAAAUGCAGUGAAAUUUAGCGACAUGAUAAGUGUAUGUAUUUGCAGCAUUGUGGAAGCAGAUUCAGAGGAAUCACCAUCAACCCGAAUCAUGG